AGUGAACGCUGGCGGCAGGCCUAAUACAUGCAAGUCGAACGGCAGCACAGCAGAGCUUGCUCUGUGGGUGGCGAGUGGCGGACGGGUGAGGAAUACAUGGGAAUCUGCCCAGUCGUGGGGGAUAACGUAUGGAAACGUACGCUAAUACCGCAUGCGCCCUACGGGGGAAAGCCGGGGACCGAAAGGCCUGGCGCGAUUGGAUGAGCCCAUGUUCGAUUAGCUAGUUGGCGGGGUAAAGGCCCACCAAGGCGACGAUCGAUAGCUGGUCUGAGAGGAUGAUCAGCCACACUGGAACUGAGACACGGUCCAGACUCCUACGGGAGGCAGCAGUAGGGAAUAUUGGACAAUGGGGGCAACCCUGAUCCAGCCAUGCCGCGUGAGUGAAGAAGGCCCUCGGGUUGUAAAGCUCUUUUGUCCGGAAAGAAAAGCAUCUGGUUAAUACCCGGGUGUUCUGACGGUACCGGAAGAAUAAGCACCGGCUAACUUCGUGCC
rnacentral:rRNA from 1 species